rnacentral:rRNA from 1 species
GCACAAGCGGUGGAGCAUGUGGUUUAAUUCGAAGAUACACGAAGAACCUUACCUGGCCUUGAUAUCCUAAGAAUCCUGUAGAGAUAUGGGAGUGCUAGUUUACUAGAACUUAGAGACAGGUGCUGCACGGCUGUCGUCAGCUCGUGUCGUGAGAUGUUGGGUUAAGUCCCGCAACGAGCGCAACCCCUACGUCUAGUUGCUAACACAUAAAGGUGAGCACUCUAGAAGAACUGCCGUUGACAAAACGGAGGAAGGUGGGGAUGACGUCAAAUCAUCAUGCCCCUUAUGUCCUGGGCUACACACGUGCUACAAUGGCCGGUACAAAGGGAAGCGAAGCCGCGAGGCGGAGCAAAUCCGAAAAAAGCCGGUCUCAGUUCGGAUUGCAGGCUGCAAUUCGCCUGCAUGAAGUCGGAAUCGCUAGUAAUCGCAGGUCAGCAUACUGCGGUGAAUACGUUCCCGGGC